ACGUAGGGGGCUAGCGUUAUCCGGAUUUACUGGGCGUAAAGGGUGCGUAGGUGGUUUCUUAAGUCAGAGGUGAAAGGCUACGGCUCAACCGUAGUAAGCCUUUGAAACUGGGAAACUUGAGUGCAGGAGAGGAAAGUGGAAUUCCUAGUGUAGCGGUGAAAUGCGUAGAUAUUAGGAGGAACACCAGUAGCGAAGGCGGCUUUCUGGACUGUAACUGACACUGAGGCACGAAAGCGUGGGGAGCAAACAGGAUUAGAUACCCUGGUAGUCCACGCCGU
rnacentral:rRNA from 1 species